rnacentral:rRNA from 1 species
GACGAACGCUGGCGGCGUGCUUAACACAUGCAAGUCGAACGGAAAGGCCCUGCUUUUGUGGGGUGCUCGAGUGGCGAACGGGUGAGUAACACGUGAGUAACCUGCCCUUGACUUUGGGAUAACUUCAGGAAACUGGGGCUAAUACCGGAUAGGAGCUCCUGCUGCAUGGUGGGGGUUGGAAAGUUUCGGCGGUUGGGGAUGGACUCGCGGCUUAUCAGCUUGUUGGUGGGGUAGUGGCUUACCAAGGCUUUGACGGGUAGCCGGCCUGAGAGGGUGACCGGCCACAUUGGGACUGAGAUACGGCCCAGACUCCUAUGGGAGGCAGCAGUGGGGAAUAUUGCACAAUGGGCGGAAGCCUGAUGCAGCAACGCCGCGUGCGGGAUGACGGCCUUCGGGUUGUAAACCGCUUUCGCCUGUGACGAAGCGUGAGUGACGGUAAUGGGCAAAGAAGCACCGGCUAACUACGUG